rnacentral:rRNA from 1 species
UGGGGAAUUUUGGACAAUGGGCGAAAGCCUGAUCCAGCAAUGCCGCGUGUGUGAAGAAGGCCUUCGGGUUGUAAAGCACUUUUGUCCGGAAAGAAAUCCUUGGCUCUAAUACAGUCGGGGGAUGACGGUACCGGAAGAAUAAGCACCGGCUAACUACGUGCCAGCAGCCGCGGUAAUACGUAGGGUGCAAGCGUUAAUCGGAAUUACUGGGCGUAAAGCGUGCGCAGGCGGUUUGCUAAGACCGAUGUGAAAUCCCCGGGCUCAACCUGGAACUGCAUUGGUGACUGGCAGGCUAGAGUAUGGCAGAGGGGGGUAGAAUUCCACGUGUAGCAGUGAAAUGCGUAGAGAUGUGGAGGAAUACCGACGGCGAAGGCAGCCCCCUGGGCCAAUACUGACGCUCAUGCACGAAAGCGUGGGGAGCAAACAGGAUUAGAUACCCUGGUAGUCCACGCCCUAAAACGAUGUCAACUAGUUGUUGGGGAUUCAUUUCCUUAGUAAACGUAGCUAACGCGUGAAGUUGACCGCCUGGGGAGUACGGUCGCAAGAUUAAAAACUCAAAUGAAUUGACGGGGUCAUAGCUGUUUCCU